rnacentral:misc_RNA from 1 species
AUGAAUGUUGGGUUAGCGAGUCUGAAAAUGACAAGCGCCCACACUUAUUACCACACACACUGUGAACCUUUUCCUUUAAUCGCAAGAUUUAAGGAAAAAAACUCCUGUGAUUUAAACAAGUCUAGGAUGUCAAUCCAAUUGAAAAACUAUUAUA